CGCACUCUGACCGGGGAGGCGAGGAGAAGAAUGGCAGCCUCAGAAGCCCGUCUCCGUAAACUAUCACGACGAGAAAAUUAAUGAAAUAACCGCCAUAUUUCAUCGAUUUUAAUAUGUCUGUGCAUUCAUGGGUAAGAUACAGAGAAAGGAGAAUUUAACUGCAAUUGCUCUGUUAAUCUACAAAAUCUAUUAACUUGACAACACCAAGCUACAUCUAUGGAAUGGCUAUAGGACAUAUCAAGAUUUUUUUUGUUGUUAUAUUUUUCUUUUGUAGGUUAUCUAGGGAUGUUUUGGUUAUUUAGAACUGUUUUACUCAAAUAUUUGACAUUUAAAAUCUUUGGCAUUGCAGAUGAUGUAAGUACAAUUUUUGCUUAUACAUCAAUGAUGGUAUAAAAUGAAACAAGCUAAUAAUAAACUAUUUGAGUUAUUAAAGUGCUACUUUUUAAACCAAAUUCCGGGAUGAAGUCUGCCCACUUACCAUUUUAUCUAUUUACUAUAAAAUAAAUUAAAUAUGACUCUGUGUGCGUAUUCUCCAUAUCGAAUUUUCUUGACACAAUUAUUUUAUUUUAUUGAUUUUUAUAUAUAACAAAGAUUUUUAAAUUUUAAAGCAAAAAGCCUUUAGGCAUUUGAGCAUAAUUUUAAGUGUAUACAGCCAUUUUUCUCUGGUUCUUUAUAAUCCAUGUUUUUAAUAAAUAGACACCAUAUUCAG